rnacentral:rRNA from 1 species
AUUGAACGCUGGCGGCAUGCCUUACACAUGCAAGUCGAACGGCAGCACGGGUGCUUGCACCUGGUGGCGAGUGGCGAACGGGUGAGUAAUACAUCGGAACAUGUCCUGUAGUGGGGGAUAGCCCGGCGAAAGCCGGAUUAAUACCGCAUACGAUCUACGGAUGAAAGCGGGGGGCCUUCGGGCCUCGCGCUGUAGGGUUGGCCGAUGGCUGAUUAGCUAGUUGGUGGGGUAAAGGCCUACCAAGGCGACGAGCAGUAGCUGGUUUGAGAGGACGACCAGCCACACUGGGACUGAGACACGGCCCAGACUCCUACGGGAGGCAGCAGUGGGGAAUUUUGGACAAUGGGCGAAAGCCUGAUCCAGCAAUGCCGCGUGUGUGAAGAAGGCCUUCGGGUUGUAAAGCACUUUUGUCCGGAAAGAAAUCCUUGGCCCUAAUACGGUCGGGGGAUGACGGUACCGGAAGAAUAAGCACCGGCUAACUACGUG